rnacentral:piRNA from 1 species
UAAGAAUGAGUUGCUUACUGAACAGGUC